rnacentral:rRNA from 1 species
GAUGAACGCUGACAGAAUGCUUAACACAUGCAAGUCGGCUCGAGUCUUCGGACUUGGGUGGCGCACGGGUGAGUAACGCGUAAAGAACUUGCCUCUUAGACCGGGACAACAUUUGGAAACGGAUGCUAAUACCGGAUAUUAUGGUUUCUUCGCAUGGGGGAAUCAUGAAAGCUACAUGCGCUAAGAGAGAGCUUUGCGUCCCAUUAGCUCGUUGGUGAGGUAACGGCCCACCAAGGCAAUGAUGGGUAGCCGGCCUGAGAGGGUGAACGGCCACAAGGGGACUGAGACACGGCCCUU